AAUCAAGUGAAGCAGCUAUCACAGGGUCUGGAACAUAGUACAUCCCAGCCUUCUUGCACAUAGAAACACUACACAGCACUUCAGCUGUAUGUUUGGGGGCCAUUUUAAACAGCAAAAUCAUCAACAGGAAGCAGAAAAUUGUAAAAAUUGUGGCACUAAAUAGACCAUGUAAAGGACACAUGUUUGCAAUAAGAAAGCUGAAACAAGAAGGGGGAGUGUCACCUUAUUUGAUCCAGCUAGAAACUCAGGUGCUGGUAUUCCAGCAACACUCAGGCGGCUGCUCCAGGAGGCUGCAGAGGGGUCCUUUUUAGCCGUCAACAAAACUGGCUAUGGUCACGCCCAUUGGGAAACUCAUUGCUGCCUUCAAGGUGGAAGUUAAAGUCAUCACAGUUCUUUCAUGAAAGGAGAAAACUUCUACAUAGAAGAUGAGAAGCUUCUUUGGGGCAGAGACUAUAGACUCAGAAGCUGUAGGAAUAUUCAGGCACAGACACCAGACCCAGCUUCAUCUCUAACUUGUGGCAAAGGACAGUACAUCCUGGGAUGGGACCCUAUGCUCCCCUAUGCCAUUUAGACAGAGCCUGGGGAGAGUGACUUCCCAGGGUAUCCAUGUUGGAAUCUCUCAUUUGAUUCUUAUUCAAAUGUAAGUCAUUCUCCGAGGCCCAUAUAAAGUCAACCUCAUCCUUGAAGCUUUGGGUUUUAUUUCUUUAAUGUGCUUUGUGUAUACAUUAAUACUUAAAAUUGAAAUCUGGACAAAAGAAA
rnacentral:lncRNA from 1 species